rnacentral:tRNA from 1 species
GGUAGGUCAAUCCGAUGGUUGGCGACGGAACUGGUCUUGAAAACCAGCGAGUGCUAAUAGCGCCUUGUGAGUUCGAUCCUCACACCUACCG